CGGAGGUGUCGAGCCGUGGCGUUGGAUGUGCUGACCACCACCAGGUCCUGGGAGGAUCUGAUGCUGCCCCACUUCGAUGAGCUGCUCCUCCAUCCAGACUGGGAAGUUUUUAAGAGUCACCGUCAAGCUGAAGGUUUCUGAAGUUCUCUUUUAAUGAUUUUGAGAAACUUUUCAAAAGCUCAAGCUGUUGUAGAUGUUUUCACCGAGGUCCAAACACUCCAGCUUUUCUGGGGGUUUGUAAACGCCCAAGAGAAAAUUGAUUUUAAAUCUGUCUGUUGAAUCUUUUAAGUCUGUUUCCAAUUUAGUGACCCAUCUUUCUGCUUCUCCAAAAUCUAUCUUGUGUUGUUACAGUCUACAUCCAAGAAGACCCUGGCAGACCCCAUCACCUGCUGGACUCUGAGCUCCUGCAUACUGGGUUACUGGUGAGCAUGGAGUACAGAUUCCCCCACCUACAAAAAAAACCUGGUACAGCAGUUUUAUCUGAUGCAUCCAGAUUUCCUAACCCCUGCCAAUUUUAAUCUCUCCCAAACACCAGUGCUUUGCCCACUUUGAGGGACGGAUCUUCUUCAUUCUGGACCCCUUUAACUGAAGUCUGCACCAGCACAGAAACCUGCCCCUGGA